AGCAUCUUUGUAUUCCAAGGUGUUACAGGGCAAGGAUAUGUAAGUUUGACAGCAAACACCAUCGGAAGUCCAAUUUCAUUUGUUGCAAUAUAAGGAUCAGUAGUUGUUUAAUACCCGGUGUCUUAUCAUCAGCACUCGUCAAGCGAUCAAGAUCUGAAUCCAGGAGACUGUUGACGUGUUGCUGCAAUCGUAGCCAUGCAUUCUCCAAUUUUUGGGGCAGAGUUUUCCCGGGAAUGCUGGAAAUUACAUCCAUUUUCUUACUCGACAUCUAAGAACAAUUGAAGAAGAUUGUUAAUUCAUACACGUUGUUGGGAACAUGUUAGAAAAUAUCAUUUAGAGAAUUGUUUUGUUAAAAAAUAUCACAAAUAUCACUCAAAGUGUUUUAUUAAAAUAUACAUUCAUAAUAAAAAAAUUGAAAACUAUGUAACGAAACUACUUCCCAAACAUUUUUAACUGCAUUAAAUGCUAAAGAAUUAUUAUAACUCACUUUAAGUUUAAGCUUCCCCAUCUUUGUCACAUCUUCUUCUUCCUCCUCCAUCUCAUCCUCGAUGUUUUCCUUGUUUGCCUCUGAGAGUCUCUUGAUAAGAGCACGCAGGAUUACGCAAUCCAUUAAAACCUUGGCAAAAAAGUUGGAUUAAGAUCAAAUUUCGGGUUGCAGAAAUUACUUUUAUUUGUCGUAAUUUGAAUAAAUAUGUGUUAGAAAACGUUUUUGUUUUAUAUUAGAUUGGUUAUCAAAACUUUUUAUGUGCAUAAAACAAGGAUUUUAUAAAGGUAAAUUUGUUAAAAAAAUUGUUGUUUUAAACCAUUUACAGUUUCUGGAGUAUAAUUGUCUAAGACAUA